rnacentral:rRNA from 1 species
UGGAAAAGGGCGUAUGGGGAAUGCCUAGGCUCUCAGAGGCGAAGAAGGACGUGAUAAGCUGCGAAAAGCUGCGGGGAUCGGCACACACGAUAUGAUCCGCAGGUAUCCGAAUGGGGCAACCCGUUAUAUUGAAGGUAUAACAUCCGCAAGGAGGCAAACCCGGGGAACUGAAACAUCUAAGUACCCGGAGGAAAGGACAUCAAUUGAUACUCCCUUAGUAGCGGCGAGCGAACGGGGACCAGCCGAGCCAGAGAAGUGACUGGAAUGCGUUGGGAAGCGCAGCCAUAGCGGGUGAUAGCCCCGUACAGGAAGCUUUGAUGGACGUAUUAAGUAGGGCGGAACACGUGAAAUUCUGUCUGAAGAUCGGAGGACCACCUUCGAAGGCUAAGUACUCCUAACUGACCGAUAGUGAACCAGUACCGUGAGGGAAAGGUGAAAAGCACCCCGACAAGGGGAGUGAAAUAGUUCCUGAAACCGGAUGCCUACAAGCAGUCGGAGGGCGAAAGCCUGACGGCGUACCUUUUGUAUAAUGGGUCAACGACUUAGUGUUGUAUGCAAGCUUAAACCGUUAGGUGUAGGCGCAGCGAAAGCGAGUCUUAAUAGGGCGCAUGAGUUCGUGGGAUCAGACCCGAAACCGAGUGAUCUAGGCAUGACCAGGAUGAAGGUGCGGUAACACGCACUGGAGGUCCGAACCCACACCUGUUGAAAAAGGUCGGGAUGAGUUGUGCCUAGGGGUGAAAGGCCAAUCAAACUCGGAGAUAGCUGGUUCUCUGCGAAAUCUAUUUAGGUAGAGCGU